CAAACGACUCUCGGCAACGGAUAUCUUGGCUCACGCAUCGAUGAAGAACGUAGCAAAAUGCGAUACUUGGUGUGAAUUGCAGAAUCCCGUGAACCAUCGAGUUUUUGAACGCAAGUUGCGCCCGAAGCCUUUCGGYCGAGGGCACGUCUGCCUGGGCGUCACAC
rnacentral:rRNA from 1 species